GAUGAACGCUGGCGGCGUGCCUAAUACAUGCAAGUCGAGCGAACAGACGAGGAGCUUGCUCCUCUGACGUUAGCGGCGGACGGGUGAGUAACACGUGGAUAACCUACCUAUAAGACUGGGAUAACUUCGGGAAACCGGAGCUAAUACCGGAUAAUAUAUUGAACCGCAUGGUUCAAUAGUGAAAGACGGUUUUGCUGUCACUUAUAGAUGGAUCCGCGCCGCAUUAGCUAGUUGGUAAGGUAACGGCUUACCAAGGCAACGAUGCGUAGCCGACCUGAGAGGGUGAACGGCCACACUGGAACUGAGACACGGUCCAGACUCCUACGGGAGGCAGCAGUAGGGAAUCUGCCGCAAAGGGCGAAAGCCUGACGGAGCAACGCCGCGUGAGUGAUGAAGGUCUUCGGAUCGUAAAACGCUGUUAUUAGGGAAGAACAAAUGUGUAAGUAACUAUGCACGUCUGGACGGUACCUAAUCAGAAAGCCACGGCUAACUACGU
rnacentral:rRNA from 1 species